rnacentral:rRNA from 1 species
AGUGAACGCUGGCGGUAGGCCUAACACAUGCAAGUCGAACGGCAGCACAGGAGAGCUUGCUCUCUGGGUGGCGAGUGGCGGACGGGUGAGGAAUACAUCGGAAUCUACUCUGUCGUGGGGGAUAACGUAGGGAAACUUACGCUAAUACCGCAUACGACCUACGGGUGAAAGCAGGGGACAUUCGGGCCUUGCGCGAUUGAAUGAGCCGAUGUCGGAUUAGCUAGUUGGCGGGGUAAGGGCCCACCAAGGCGACGAUCCGUAGCUGGUCUGAGAGGAUGAUCAGCCACACUGGAACUGAGACACGGUCCAGACUCCUACGGGAGGCAGCAGUGGGGAAUAUUGGACAAUGGGCGCAAGCCUGAUCCAGCCAUACCGCGUGGGUGAAGAAGGCCUUCGGGUUGUAAAGCCCUUUUGUUGGGAAAGAAAUCCAGCUGGCUAAUACCCGGUUGGGAUGACGGUACCCAAAGAAUAAGCACCGGCUAACUUCGUGCCAGCCGCCGCAGUAA